rnacentral:rRNA from 1 species
UACGGAGGGGGCAAGCGUUGUUCGGAUUUACUGGGCGUAAAGGGCGCGUAGGCGGUUGAUUAAGUCCGGUGUGAAAGCUUUACCACUCAACGGAAAGAGGUCACUGGAAACUGGUCGGCUAGAGUAAGGUAGAGGCAAGCGGAAUUCCUGGUGUAGCGGUGGAAUGUGUAGAUAUCAGGAAGAACAUCUGUGGCGAAGGCGGCUUGCUGGGCCUUUACUGACGCUGAGGCUCGAAAGCGUGGGGAGCAAACGGG